rnacentral:rRNA from 1 species
AUGUUCUAACGUUGACCCGUAAUCCGGGUUGCGGACAGUGUCUGGUGGGUAGUUUGACUGGGGCGGUCUCCUCCUAAAGAGUAACGGAGGAGCACGAAGGUUGGCUAAUCCUGGUCGGACAUCAGGAGGUUAGUGCAAUGGCAUAAGCCAGCUUGACUGCGAGCGUGACGGCGCGAGCAGGUGCGAAAGCAGGUCAUAGUGAUCCGGUGGUUCUGAAUGGAAGGGCCAUCGCUCAACGGAUAAAAGGUACUCCGGGGAUAACAGGCUGAUACCGCCCAAGAGUUCAUAUCGACGGCGGUGUUUGGCACCUCGAUGUCGGCUCAUCACAUCCUGGGGCUGAAGUAGGUCCCAAGGGUAUGGCUGUUCGCCAUUUAAAGUGGUACGCGAGCUGGGUUUAGAACGUCGUGAGACAGUUCGGUCCCUAUCUGCCGUGGGCGCUGGAGAACUGAGGGGGGCUGCUCCUAGUACGAGAGGACCGGAGUGGACGCAUCACUGGUGUUCGGGUUGUCAUGCCAAUGGCACUGCCCGGUAGCUAAAUGCGGAAGAGAUAAGUGCUGAAAGCAUCUAAGCACGAAACUUGC